rnacentral:rRNA from 1 species
AUUGAACGCUGGCGGCAAGCCUAACACAUGCAAGUCGAACGAGUGGCGGACGGGCGAGUAAUGUAUGGGAAACUGCCUGACGGAGGGGGCGAACUACUGGAAACGGUAGCUAAUACCGCAUACCAUCGGAUGUGCCCAAAUGGGAUUAGCUAGUAGGUGGGGUAAAGGCUCACCAAGGCGACGAUCCCUAGCUGGUCUGAGAGGAUGACCAGCAGAAGUGGAGCUAGGACACGGUCCAGACUCCUACGGGAGGAGGAAGAGGGGAAGAGUGCGCAAUGGGCGGAAGCCUGAUGCAGCAAUGCCGCGUGUAUGAAGAAGGCGUUCGGGUUGUAAAGUACUUUCAGCGGGGAGGCGUGACCCGCAGAAGAAGCACCGGCUAACUCCGUGCCAGCGGCCGCGGUAAUAC